AGAUACAACCAGAUCAACGGGUGAGAUCUCUUCUCUGCAUUCCCAAAUGUCCCUCGUCCGCCGCCGCCUCCUCUCCACCGCGGCGGCGGUUGCCGCUGCUCGCGGCCCACCGCCGGUUCGCGUCGCCUUGACGGACUCAGCCGGCCGUGGAGUCUUCGCUACCCGCCCCAUCGCCAACGGCGAGGUCCUCCACUCGGCGCAGCCUCUCGUCACCCAUCCGUCCCGCUCUCUCUUCCACGAGGUGUGCUACCGCUGCCUCAGGAGGAAAGCGGGGAAGGGCGGCGACUCCAGAGGGGACUGCUACUUCUGCAGCGACGCGUGUCGGGAGCAUGCCGAGGGAUUCCAUGGCAUUGAAAAGAAGGCGGAUUGGUCUUUGUUAGAUGACCACUGUAGUUCACGUGGUCUCAAGUACCCAUACAUGGUCAAGCGGCUAGCUUGCAUGGUUAUAUCAGGAGAUGUUGGUGCAGAUUGUCUUGACAUUCUUCAGCCAGCCCAAUUGCACCAGGGUACACUUAUUGAGAUGGAAGAGGAGUUUGAAUUUUUGAAGUCCACUUUUAGGAAGGCAGGGUUUCAGGAAGAACUCACAACUUUUUUGACCAAACAAUGGUACAUCAAUGUACUUGCAAGAAUACGUGUAAAUGCAUUCCGUAUUGAAUUGGUUGCAAGUUCAUAUGAGGAUCUUCUAUCCUCAGCAGUAGCGUCGGUAACAUGUGAUGCAUCAGUUGGCAAUGCUGUAUAUAUGCUCCCCUCGUUCUACAACCAUGACUGUGAUCCAAAUACUCACAUAGUUUGGCUUGAAAACGCAGACGCUAAAUUGAUGACCCUUCGUGAUAUUGACGAAGGUGAAGAGCUGCGCAUCUGCUACAUUGAUACAAGCAUGGAUGUGAACGCCAGGCAGAAGAUUCUCACUGAAGGAUUUGGCUUCCAGUGCCAUUGCCAACGGUGCUUAUCUGGGGACUAAAAUUCAUCGUUUACCUUAAUGGUCGCUUCCCUCGACGUGCGUGACAUCAGUUUCUGCUAUGGUUCAUUUAAUUCACAUAAGGUCGCCGACCAUGAGGACUGCACCUCUGCAUCUGAUGAAGCCAGUAGGCGCCAACACUUGCAGGUUCCUGUAUCAAGAUAUGCCCCCAGUGUUAAGUGAACUGGUUAAACAUGAACAGUGAACCUGUUGAGCUAUCUAUGAUGUGGAGAAAGAAGAAUCAGUUAAAACAUAAUAAGUUCAGUUCCCUGGAUAAUAGGCAAACAUAAUAUUUUAACUUCAACUGUACAGUGUCCUUUUGAUUUGUAAUGUUAAGAUAGUUCAAUCACUAUCCUUCCAAUUUGCAGAGAGCAGCUUCAUCGUCGCUCCUGUUUUCAGUUUAAUUUAAUGAUCAGUUGAUGAA